rnacentral:rRNA from 1 species
UCUGCCUACGGGGCGCAGCAGUUAGGAAUAUUCGUCAAUGGGGGAAACCCUGAACGAGCAAUGCCGCGUAAAGGAUGACGGUCCUAUGGAUUGUAAACUUCUGUUGUUAGGGAAGAACGACCUAAGUAGGAAAUGACUUAGGAGUGACGGUACCUUUCAAGAAAGCUCCGGCUAACUACGUGCCAGCAGCCGCGGUAAUACGUAGGGAGCGAGCGUUAUCCGGAUUUAUUGGGUGUAAAGGGUGCGUAGGAGGCUUCUUAAGUCUGUAGUCUAAGCCCGGAGCUUACCUCCGGU